UCCAGUGGCUCGAGCCAGGUCUCAUCCGCCUCGCACGAUCCCGUCAAACGAAGGUUACGCUAGCUGGCGCUCCUUUUGCCAAUAUGUCAUUUCCCCAAAUUAUGACCACGAAGAGCGUCUUUUUAACGGCUUUUCUCUCGUUAGUCUGUAGCCUUUGAGCGGGGAAGAAAAGAAGAGACGUGCCGUUUUUAGAGCCUUUAUCCCGGAGCUUGUUGGACGGGACAGCCGAGCACCGACUGAUCUUUCUGACCCUCGUCGCCCCCCUCCCGCCCCAUCUGGAGAUGCUACCCAGCCUGCGGGGACUCCUGCGGCCCGUCCUCUACAUGAGAGCCGGCAGCGGGCCCCUACGAGCCGGGCUGUUCGGCCAGCAAGCUUCAUCCUUGUCCGGCCCGGGUCUGUCGGCCGCGAGGCGCCACCUGGGCACCCACCCGCUGAAGGAACCGGUGGAGCCCCUCAACUCGCCCCGUGGAGCCAAGGAGUUUAUUUAUAGCCUCCACCCGUCUGAACGCACAUGCCUGCUGCGGGAGCUGCACAGGUUUGAGUCCAUCGCCAUCGCCCAAGGGCAGCUUGAGAUUGCACCACCUACUGCAGCACAGUUGAGAUAUGUUCUACUGCACAAUGCACUCCCCUUCGUUGGAUUUGGCUUUCUGGACAACUGCAUCAUGAUUGUUGCCGGCACGCAGAUUGAGUUGUCCAUCGGUGUGAUCCUCGGCAUCUCUACUAUGGCAGCUGCUGCUCUCGGCAACCUGGUGUCGGAUCUGGCAGGACUCGGCAGCCGAUCCUCAUUGGACCAGCUGAGGGUUAAAAUGGUGGACAGUGGAGACCGCCGCCUCAAAGGAAGGUCACGUGCGUACACGGCACAACUGGAGUCCAAGCAGGAUUCCAGCCACGUUUGUAUUUUUGUAACAACUAAGUUUGCUCCAUCAAUGAAAUAACAUUUUGGCAUAUUGUAUAUUAUGUCAAAUAAGCCAAAUAAUCCGCCAACAACAAGAAUACUUUCCAGUGUGUAAUCUUCUACUUUGAAACUUGCAUCUUACACAGCAGUGCGGCUCAUUUGGGGCCAUGUUCUAUUCUCAUGACAUCUCCGUUACCUGUUGAAAUACGUAGCGCUAGCGAGUCAGGGAGGGAACGGCAGCCCUAAUCACAAGAUAAUCCCGAAGUCACACGAGGACUGUUAUGCAAUAUAAGUGUAUAUGUGUACAUAUAUGUGAUGUACAUUCAUGUAACAUAAGGUAACAUUUCAUGCCUGAAAUAAAUUAAGAGAAAGAAAGAUAAGAGUCUGUUACCUUAGAAGCAACACUAAAAUCAUCACAUGGCAGCUUAACACUCAAAAGGUAGCGAAGAAAUAUGCAAUCCAAGUACCAAUACAAGUUUGAAAUAAACAACUAUUUUAACCCCCCCCCCCCCCCCAUUCCAAAAACAUGCUAGCUUGAUUGGCCACUCCAAAUUGUCCAUAGGUAUGAAUGUGAGUGUGAAUGGUUGUUUGUCUAUAUGUGCCCUGGGAUUGGCUGGCCACCAGUCCAGCUGGGAUAGGCUCCAGCACCCCCAAUAGAAAAUGAAUGAUUAGUUCCAGUGUUCCCAAUUCCACAUCCAGCAGCCUGCUGUGACGGGGUCAUCGUCCGUAUGGCCAGACGUUGUUUUCGAGUCUGAUGGUGUAGAUGUCACGCCCUGUGUGGGUUUGCACGUGACAGUUUAUGUUUGAGUUUCCGGCCUAGGUUUUGGUGUCCGUUUUGAACUCUUAUUUUGUAUUUAACUUCCUGUUUUGCCCUGUCGUCCUUGGUUGCCUUAAUCACUCACACCUGUCCCUAAUUUGUGUUUGUAUUUAGUUCAGGUGUGUGCAUCUCCCCUUUGUGGGAUUAUUGUAUUGUUUGUCCGUCAGCUACCUGAGUUGCUAUUAAUGCACACAAUAAAUAUUAUUUACCUGCACUUGGUCCUGCUCUCUGCAUCCUGGGGUCGAACUUUAAAGCAAUGAAGCCGAAUCGUGACAGUAGAAGCACAAUGAGUGGUCAAUGAGGGUGUGUGUUGUGGUGCAUGAUACACCUACACCGUUUGUGUGCUUGUAUCUUCAUCCAACUUUGGAGCCCCUCGGGGUGAUUUGUGGAGGUGAACCCAGGUCAGACAUGAGGACCCGUGUGGUCAAACAAUUGAAUGUUUUAUGUGGGAGAACAGAAAAUGGUGCAUUUCAGUGAAAUUCAUUUUCUUUGGAGCUCAGGCCCAUAAAGUCUAAUUACCAGGGUCCCAUGUUGUUCACGUUGAUGAAUGAUGCAGCCCCCCCCCCCCCAGUCGAGUGUCGGAUAUGUGACAAAUAGCCCAACCUUUCCUAGCACCCUACAUUUGCAUAAAUGACUGGCUGGCCUUUUACUCCAGGGUGGCAGACUUAGCUGUGACGCCCCCCUUGGGAGACCAUCAGGACCUCGACUUCUUGCAGUAAACAUGAAUGAGCUCUGUCAAUUGAUUUUGGCGCCGCCAUUCAACGGCCAUCAUAAAAACCAUGGCCGUGCGGCGGCGACAUGACUUGACUGUAGGGUUCCCGACACCCGCAUUGAGCCGAGCAGGAAGGCACUAUGACUUCAUGUCGUAUUGGCGCGACAGUCAACACUAGUCUGUAAAACCUCCAAGGCUUCAGUUUGCCAGCCAGACACGGGCGACGCCAAUCCAUGCCCGGGUCUUUCAUCAAACCUACUGGCGUUCCACUUCUCAUCUUUCUUUACACGCUUCGCCUAGCUUUCAACAACUGCCGCCAACUAGCUAGCUGGCGAGGAUUCUCGUCUUCGGUCACAGUGACAUUUUGUUUUUGAAAACAAACAGGAAAUUAGGGUAGUUUGGGACUCCUUUUUGUCCCACAGGGAAGUGGACAUGACGUCCAUCGGGUACGUACGGACUGUCAUGAAACUAAAUAUGGCUUGUCCUCCAAUGGACAUUGUCUAUGAUAGCACUCCUCAUAAACAUUAAACAUGUACAGCUAACCCAUGUGAUGGGAAUUGGGGCGUCCCUAUUUAACACUCUGGUCCUUGUUUGGAGUCAGUGUCACCAAAGCCAAAGAAAAAGCCAUCAUUAAGCCUUUAAUACGAGCUCAACUGACGUGUUGUGAGGUGCACUGUAGAGGUUGGCACACUGGAUAGGAAGUAGAUGGAUGGAUGGAUGGAUGGAUGGAUGGAUGGAUGGAUUAGAUCAGAUUAGCUGAGAUUUUCACUCGAUGUUCUGACACAUUGACUGACUUGACUCAUCCCAGCCGUCCAAGCUAAUGCGUGUCAUAUAGCAAGUCAGUCCCCAUCUCCAAAGGCAUCGUGUCCUUGGCCUUUUCAUCAAAAGGGCGACUAGAUGGAACCCGCGUGCUCCCUUCAAUUGAAUAGGAAUUCUACUAAAAGGAUUGCCUGUGUAGCCUCAAGUGGCUCCGGUGCUCCACUUCCUGCUGUGGCAAUAGCAUGCGUACACUGGUUGAGGUGUUGGCAUGCUAUUGGUGCGUAUGCGUGGCCUGGCCGCCUCGUCUCAGCUGCUGUUGUCUUUUCUCAGUGGUCCAAUUCAUCUCCCGCUUGCCAGCACAGCCUGAACACUGUAAAAAAUAAUAGCAUAAGAAAAUAGGACAACUGAACACCGCUGGCACACACAAGGGAUACUAUGAUGCUCCACGAGCUGACUGGCGCCACAUGGUGGAGACGCGUUACAUCACACUUAUCACUCUUAUUUCAUGGCAUCAAAGGUCAACAACGUAUCAGUGCAGGAAGGAGCAUCCGUUUCUGCUGAGAAGAAUAGCAGCUGAGUCCUACAUAAUUCAAUGUAGCAAUUCCAUCUUGUCAUUUGUGUGUCAGCGAUGCGGACUGUAAAAUAAGAUAAGAUAAGGUUUGCCUUUCUUAGUCCCACAAGGGGAAGUGGCAGGUUUAGAGCAGAUGAAGAAGUCCAAAAUCAAGGUAAUACAGGUAAUACAAGUUUUAUACAUGUUGACCAAGCCACGGCUUUUUUAUUGCACGCUUUAUUGCACGGUUAUUGUACAGGAUUUUUUGAGUCUGAAAGUGGCCAAUGGAAGACGGCAUAUGUUUUCCAACAUUCGAAUCCUAUUGACUUAUUUUCUUCCUGCGUGUCUCCAGGCUGGCAGGUUACGUGGAGGCUCUGGCAUCUCGACUGGGCAUGCAGAUCCCGGACUUGAGUCCAAAGCAGGCCGACAUGUGGCAGACCAGAGUCAGCUGUCACACGGGCAAAGCCAUCGGCGUGGGGAUCGGCUGCAUCCUGGGAAUGUUCCCCCUUC